rnacentral:rRNA from 1 species
AUUGAACGCUGGCGGCAUGCCUUACACAUGCAAGUCGAACGGUAACAGGUUAAGCUGACGGGUGGCGAACGGGUGAGUAAUGCAUCGGAAAGUGCACCGUAGUGGGGGAUAGCCCGGCGCAAGCCGGAUUCAUACCGCAUACGACCUAAGGGUGAAAGGGGGGGAUCGCAAGACCUAUCGCUAUUGGAGCGGCCGAUGUCAGAUUAGCUAGUUGGUGGGGUAAAAGCUCACCAAGGCGACGAUCUGUAGCUGGUCUGAGAGGACGACCAGCCACACUGGGACUGAGACACGGCCCAGACUCCUACGGGAGGCAGCAGUGGGGAAUUUUGGACAAUGGGCGCAAGCCUGAUCCAGCCAUGCCGCGUGCGGGAAGAAGGCCUUCGGGUUGUAAACCGCUUUUGUCAGGGAAGAAAUGCUUUGGGUUAAUACCUCGGGGGGAUGACGGUACCUGAAGAAUAAGCACCGGCUAACUACGUG